AAAGAAACCAAUUAUCAAUGUGUUAAGAUUAGUUAAUUGUGUUCGAGCAUCAAUGCCACUUUAUACUACGUAAAGUCAACGACCUAGAAGAUGUCGAAAGAGCAAGUUGAUGGACUCAACAAGCCCUGUGCUUACAAGUUGUUUAAAAGUGGGGAAUGUCGGUAAAAUCAGUGGUAUGUGCAAAAGACACUCAGUGCGGAUGUUGUGGCGCAGUACACUACAGUGUUGAAAUGGAAAGAUGGCAAACGUGAGCAAGGACAGAUGGAGGAGCUUUCAAAAAAAGAAAAAUUUACAAAGUAAAUUAGAAAGUCAUAAAACAACUCCGAGAAUAAAAUUAUCGGUAGAAUUACAAUAGGGAAAGGGGAAGCAUUGCAUAGAAUGGCGGUGUAUUGGUUCGAAAAGUGCGUGCUCUAAAGGAAUGCGAUUUAAAAAAAGUAGUACAGUAUUAGUUGUUUUAGGUAAAGACGAGGGAAUUGGAAUAAAUUUUUUUGAUGCAGGCU